rnacentral:rRNA from 1 species
CAUGCAGGCGGCGUCGUAAGUCGGUCUUAAAAGUGCGGGGCUUAACCCCGUGAGGGGACCGAAACUGCGAUGCUAGAGUAUCGGAGAGGAAAGCGGAAUUUCUAGUGUAGCGGUGAAAUGCGUAGAUAUUAGGAGGAACACCAGUGGCGAAGGCGGCUUCCUGGCCGGAUACUGACGCUCAAGUGCGAAAGCUGGGGAAGCGAAG